rnacentral:rRNA from 1 species
GACGAACGCUGGCGGCGUGCUUAACACAUGCAAGUCGAACGGAAAGGCCCUGCUUUUGUGGGGUGCUCGAGUGGCGAACGGGUGAGUAACACGUGAGUAAACUGCCCUUGACUUUGGGAUAACUUCAGGAAACUGGGGCUAAUACCGGAUAGGAGCUACUGCUGCAUGGUGGGGGUUGGAAAGAUUCGGCGGUUGGGGAUGGACUCGCGGCUUAUCAGCUUGUUGGGGGGGUAGUGGCUUACCAAGGCUUUGACGGGUAGCCGGCCUGAGAGGGUGACCGGCCACAUUGGGACUGAGAUACGGCCCAGACUCCUACGGGAGGCAGCAGUGGGGAAUAUUGCACAAUGGGCGGAAGCCUGAUGCAGCAACGCCGCGUGCGUGAUGACGGCCUUCGGGUUGUAAACCGCUUUCGCCUGUGACGAAGCGUGAGUGACGGUAAUGGGUAAAGAAGCACCGGCUAACUACGUG